rnacentral:misc_RNA from 1 species
UGACUGUGUCGGCAUGUGAGUGGUGAUGGAUUUGUAUGCCGYGGUGGGCUCCCUGCUAUUGUGCAGUUGACCAYCGACGCUGCAAGGGCGUCAUAGAGGACGUGCU